rnacentral:tRNA from 1 species
UGGCCCAUAGCGUAAUUGGCAGCGCACUCGCCUUUGGAGCGAGCGGUCCGGGAUCGUACCCUGGUGGGCCAACCA